GAUUAGAUACCAUUGUAGUUCUAGCAGUAAACUAUGUUAAAUCAUAGAUAUAUUUUAAAUAUAUAUUUAUGUAAAGAAAUUAAGAUUAUAUUGACUCUGGGGAUAGUAUGAUCGCAAGAUUGAAAAUUAAAGAAAUUGACGGAAGAAUACCACAAGGAGUGGAUUGUGCGGCUUAAUUUGACUCAACGCGGGGUAAUUUACCAGGUAUAACAUGAUAUAAUAUUUUAUCAUGAUAGUGGUGCAUGGCCGUUUCCAAUGGAUGCUGUGAAGUAAUGAUUAAUUUCAACAAGAUGUGAGACCCUCUAUUAAGACAGAUGUAGUGAUACAUAUGAAGGAGAGGAUUAAAACAGGUCCGUUAUGCCCUAAGAUAAUCUGGGUUGCACGCGCAAUACAAUGAUAUCUAAUAUUAUAAGGGAUAAUAUAAUGUAAGAUAUAUUUGAACAUGGAAUUGCUAGUAAAUUUUAUUUAAUAAGUAGAAUUGAAUGUGUCCCUGUUCUUUGUACACACCGCCCGUCGCUAUCUAAGAUGGUAUUAUCUAUGAACAAAUUUAUAAAGUGAAUAGAUAGUACUAGAUCUGAUAUAAGUCGUAACAUGGUUGCUGUUGGAGAACCAUUAGCAGGAUCAUAA
rnacentral:rRNA from 1 species